GAUGAAGAACGUAGUGAAAUGCGAUAAGUAAUGCGAAUUGCAGAAUUCAGUGAGUCAUCGAAUCUUUGAACGCACAUUGCGCCCGCCAGCACUCUGGCGGGCAUGCCUGUCCGAGCGUCAUUUCAACCCUCGCGCCGUCCCUCCAGGGGGCUCGGCGCGGUGUUGGGGGACACGGCCCCGGCCGCCCCCGAAAUGCAGUGGCGACCCCGCCGCGGCCCCUCCAGCGCAGUAAGCACGCUCGCUACGGGAGGCCCGGUGGACGCGUCCGCCGUAAAACGCCCAACUCUUCAGAAGUUGACCUCGGAUCAGGUAGGGAUACCCGCUGAACUUAAGCAUAUCAAUAAGCGGAGGA
rnacentral:misc_RNA from 1 species